ACCCCAGCUGCCGAGUGAUUAACUCUUCUGGCAUGACCUUCUCUUCCUCUUUGUUUGAGAAAACUUCCUGGUGAAAAAUCCUUGAGACAUAUCAGUUUUUCUAGUGAAAAAUCUUUUCUUUGGCAACCUGGUGACCUUCUUCAGUUUCAAGGCUUUUAUAGUUUAACCGAUGAUACCUAGAAGGUGUUUCCUGGCUGAGAAAUAAUCACUAUGGUUGUCGGAAAGCAUAUGUUGCAGCUGUUUUAUUUAUAGCAAAUGUAUCCUGAGGAUCAGGAGCUUAUUUGCUGUUGGUAUGAUGAAAAUGAGUUAUGCUCGAUUUAUUCUUAGAUUAUUUUAACAACUCUUUUAAACAAAAGAUCAAGUGUGUACUUUUGUUGGUGGUGUUUUUUUAUUUAUUUUUUUAAAGUGGCUGCCAAUGAGCUGCUGAGUGUCUGAGAUACUUUAAAAUAUUUUAGCUUUCCUGCAUCAUAUCUGCCCUGUGGUUUUUGUCUCCUAGCCUCUUGCUGUUUUAUACUAUUUCUGCAAGGCUUUCCUUUCCAGAACGUGAACAAUGCAUUGCAAAAGGAAUGGAGAAAGAAAAUAUUGGAUUCUCCCACUAUAAAUAAAAUAAGCAUGAAUGACUGCAGAAUUAGGGACAAAGGACUUGCUUUUCUGAGAGGCAGACUCUCAGGAAAGUCUGACUGCCAGGGAAAGAGCUGCUGUUCCUGAAGAUGGCACCUGAAGGAUGCAGAUAAGUGUUUUUAAGUAUUUUGUUUUAUGCUGUCAUUUUUGCCUGUUAGUAGAGGAGGCAGUGCAGAGGUUUCUUCUUAUUUCUUGUAAAUAUCAUAUUUUGUUGUUUUAAUUUUUUACUUUUCCUGACAGUGACAACAGAAUUAUUCCACUUGUUCUGCAUCAUACUUUUUUCUGCUCUGCGUUUGAUGUACAUUACUCUCCAGGACACCAAAGACUGGGGCUUAACUCCUCUUACUAAUUGCUUUCUUGCAGCAGCCUGUUCUUCAGUCUUUCAGCAAGUGCAUUAACAUGAAUUCAGUCAGUCUCAAUGUGUUAAAUUAAAGGCUAUGAACACUGGAGAGGGUAGUUUACGACAGUUGCUUGUUGGUAGCUUUGGCAUUCUAAAGAGAGUAAAACUUAUUACUCUUCUUCAGUGUGGGAAGAUUUUGAUCUUCAUCUACUUUUUUUUUUUUUUUUUAGGCAGAGUAUCACCCCCCACCCCCAACUCAGGAGCUGGCUCUGGAGGCAAGAUUGCUGCUUUUGUGCAGUAUCUGAACUAAUAUCCCUUCUAACCCCAUAUUGCUCAAGUCUGAUGUCUCUGUGCCGGUCGUUUGCCUACAGCCUGGACAGACCAUUUUUACAGGAAGAUGAGUUUUCAAGAGCUUUCGAGUGGGGACUAUCCUGCAGAAGGAGGCUUUUGUGCUCUAUGAGAAGCUGCAAACACUAUCAUUCCCACAAGAAGCCUGUAAUAUCAGGUCUGACUUUAGCGACAAUGAAUGCUAGAGGACUAACGUUAAACAAGGUUUGAGAUACCAAGUUGCGUCUUAGACCAAGAUAAGCAAGCAAGGCUGCAGCGCCUGCGUGGCAAAUUAAUGUGCAUUUUGUAUCAAGAGAAACUAAAUCAGGUGGAUUCAAAAUCUUGGAAGACAGCAUGACACAGGAGACAA